rnacentral:lncRNA from 1 species
CUCUUACCAGAAUGGAGGAGAGGAAGGAAGGCGUUCUAGACCAGGACAAGAGGCCUUUGGGUUGCAAUCUGAAGGUGGACCAGGCAGUGGAUUGUGAAGGCGAUUGGGCUGACCCACGUGCGGAGCCCUCAGUGCAAAGUCCUCUCUGCUCCCCAAGCCUGCAAUCCCAGCCGCAGCCCCGGGGCCUGGAAACUCCGGCCGAUUUAUUAAAGCGUCCUCCCUGUCUGCCACCAUCAGGCUAGAAUUGUUCCGAACAAAAGAAGCAUGAAUUGCUGGAAACUAUAUAUUAAAUGCAAGACUAUUUGUCUAGUUUUCAUUGGGUGCUGAGUGAAGAGCCUCAACUCCUCGUAUUCCCAUGGUACUCAGAUGUCCGCGGAGUCCGCUGCUCCUCACACUGUCAUUUCUCUCACUGGGCACAAUCCGGCUUUAAAGAAUCCGACACUUACUGGUCUUUAUGGAACUGUCAGCAGUGACAGCAACCAGGGACACUGCCAUGUCUUGCUGUUUACAAAGGAUGAGCACAACAAGGCAUCUCGAUGACUUGAUAAGCCCUGAGCUCCUCUCUCCCCAACUCUGGCCUCUCUGGACCAGCGGCCUUUGCAUGGCCAGCUAAAGACACAAGAAUUAAAACUUGAUCCAAACACUAACAAGUCUGCAACCACGGCCAUGAAGAUAAAGUAGGGCUGCUCAAGGUUGCUUGGUAAACAGCGAAAACAGAGAAACAGGAGGAUCCUUAUAUGCACAGGUUCUCCGGACUGAACAACUAUGCCAACUUCCCGAGUGGCCAUAGGAGAAGGACUGAUUAAAAGCCCUGCCUUUGAGAUUCUCCGCAUACCCAGCUUAGAUUCUGCAGGCCUUCCCAGCUCCCACUGUGUGAA